UGGUGACUAUAGCAAGGAGGUCACACCUGUUCCCAUGCCGAACACAGAAGUUAAGCUCCUUAGCGUCGAUGGUAGUAUGGCUUGGCGAAGUGAAAACGUUUGAAUC
rnacentral:rRNA from 1 species